ACCCUCUGUUUCCCUUUCCCAUCCGAUUUGAACGCUGGUCUUCAUAAUCAUAAAAGGACGGAAAGUGAUGGUGACGCUGGCCUCAGAGCCUUGCAAUGAUACGGCAUGUGCGCUAGUUUCAAACACGA
rnacentral:snoRNA from 1 species